UACGGGGGGGGUAAGCGUUGUUCGGAAUUACUGGGCGUAAAGGGCGCGUAGGCGGCCUGCUAAGUCGGACGUGAAAUCCCUCGGCUCAACCGAGGAACUGCGUCCGAUACUGGUGGGCUUGAAUCCGGGAGAGGGAUGUGGAAUUCCAGGUGUAGCGGUGAAAUGCGUAGAUAUCUGGAGGAACACCGGUGGCGAAGGCGGCAUCCUGGACCGGUAUUGACGCUGAGGCGCGAAAGCUAGGGGAGCAAACGGG
rnacentral:rRNA from 1 species